rnacentral:rRNA from 1 species
UACGGAGGGUGCGAGCGUUGUCCGGAAUCACUGGGCGUAAAGGGCGCGUAGGUGGCCUGUGGAAGUCUGCGGUGAAAGCCCGGCGCUCAACGCCGGGUCGGCCGUGGAUACUCUCGGGCUCGAGCUUACUAGAGGCAGAUGGAAUUCCGGGUGUAGCGGUGGAAUGCGUAGAGAUCCGGAAGAACACCGGUGGCGAAGGCGGUCUGCUGGGCCAAGACUGACGCUGAGGCGCGACAGCGUGGGGAGCAAACAGG